rnacentral:rRNA from 1 species
UCCGUAGGUGAACCUGCGGAAGGAUCAUUAUUGAAUACGAUUGGUGCUGUUGCUGGCUUCUUCACUGAGGCAUGUGCACGCCCGUCUAUUUAUCUUCUCUUGUGCACAUUUUGUAGUCUUGAAUUGAAACCUCUCGCAGCGAUGCGGUUUGGGGGACUGGUGCUUCACGGCGCCUUCUCCUGCUUCUUCAAGGCUACGUUUUCAUAUACACGUUAAAGUUACAGAAUGUCUUUUAACGAUUGUGCUCGUCACAGUCAUUAAACCUAUACAACUUUCAGCAACGGAUCUCUUGGCUCUCCCAUCGAUGAAGAACGCAGCGAAAUGCGAUAAGUAAUGUGAAUUGCAGAAUUCAGUGAAUCAUCGAAUCUUUGAACGCACCUUGCGCCCUUUGGUAUUCCGAAGGGCAUGCCUGUUUGAGUGUCAUUAAAUUAUCAACCUUGUUCGCUUUUCGGAGCUUGAGCGAGGCUUGGAUGUGAGGGUUUUUGCUGGCUUCCUUCAGUGGAUGGUCUGCUCCCUUUAAAUGCAUUAGUGGGAUCUCUUUUGUGGACCGUCACUUGGUGUGAUAAUUAUCUAUGCCAUUGACUUGCUUAACGAGAAUCUGCUUAUAACCGUCUCGCAAGGGACAACACUUUAUUGACAAUUUGACCUCAAAUCAGGUAGGACUACCCGCUGAACUUAAGCAUAUC